rnacentral:rRNA from 1 species
GAUGAACGCUGACAGAAUGCUUAACACAUGCAAGUCUACCAAGAAUCACUUCGGUGAGGAAUGGUGGCGGACGGGUGAGUAACGCGUAAAUAAUCUGCCCUUUAGACUGGGAUAUCCUUUGGAAAGGAAGGUUAAUACCGGAUAUUAUGAGAUGGACGCAUGUUCAACUUAUGAAAGCUAAAUGCACUAGAGGAGGAGUUUGCGUCCCAUUAGCUAGUUGGUGAGGUAAAGGCUCACCAAGGCCACGAUGGGUAGCCGGCCUGAGAGGGUGAACGGCAACAAGGGAACUGAGACACGGUCCUUACUCCUACGGGAGGCAGCAGUGGGGAAUAUUGGACAAUGGACCAAAAGUCUGAUCCAGCAAUUCUGUGUGCACGAUGAAGGUCUUCGGAUUGUAAAGUGCUUUCAGUAGGGAAGAAAAAAAUGACGGUACCUACAGAAGAAGCGACGGCUAAAUAUGUGCCAGCAGCCGCCGUAAGAC